UCCACAAAGAUUGAUGUUGUAGGU
rnacentral:siRNA from 1 species